rnacentral:rRNA from 1 species
CAGCCGCCGCGGGAAUACGUAGGGUGCAAGCGUUGUUCGGAUUUACUGGGCGUAAAGGGCGCGUAGGCGGACUGAUAAGUCAGGGGUGAAAUCCCAAGGCUCAACCUUGGAACUGCCUUUGAUACUGUUUGUCUUGAGUUCGAGAGAGGUAAGUGGAACUGCGAGUGUAGAGGUGAAAUUCGUAGAUAUUCGCAAGAACACCAGUGGCGAAGGCGGCUUACUGGCUCGAAACUGACGCUGAGGCGCGAAAGCGUGGGGAGCAAACAGGAUUAGAUACCCGAGUAGUCCCUGUCUCUUAUAC